GAGUCCACUACGAGUAAAAGUGUUGAACCUGCUUGCAUUUCGAGAGCAUCAUUUUCUUUAGCAAGAAUGGGAUUGCUGUAUAAAUGUUAUGGGUCUGUACCUACAUAGAGCUAUGCGGAAGAAUACCUGCACCGGUUCUCGACUAGCCAUCCCGACGUUACAAAUCCUGAUUACUGCUCGUAUUAUGUUGGUUGCUGUUGUUAUAGAAGAAUCGCACAACUUCAGUAUUAAGGACUGAAAACAACCAAGUACCUAACCGACACGUGGUAGCAGAUUCUGAAGGUUCAACAUCGUUCUUUUUUACCAAGGCCCGUUAUUGCCUGUUUUGUUUAGUGGCGAAUUCUGGUCUAGAAGUCUGGUCGUGAGGAAAUGCAGUAUCAUUAAAUUAUCUCAACAGUGAUAAUGAUAAUUAUAUAAUAAGCUGCUGUUUUGUUAUAUAGUAAAAUAUUCAUUUUUUGUAUUCCCCCAGUUUUAGUUGUCUAAAGACGCAUUAAUAGCCAAAUCGGAGUAUUUGCCUUGGUAUUAUUCCAAAGAAUACGUCCAAUUCCGAAUCGUUUGGAAAAGUUUUGAAGCAUCAGGUUGUCAACCCUGCACGCAACAUUCAAUCUGGUGGGACAACAGUUGUUACCAACUUUUGUGAAAACCGUCCAGUUGCUUGAAAAGCUAUCAUCACCGUACAAAGCGUUUUGUCUGUCCAGAAAUUGACCUGAAAGUUCGAAAUUUGCUUUGUGUUCACUGACGGUCAUCAUCAACAAUAUACAUUGUACAGGAAUUUGGGUGUUUAUUAACAUAAUUUUGUACGUAAUGGUAAAGAAAAUAGUUCCAAAAUCCUAACCGCAGUUGUACCACUGUCGUUCUAGUAACUCUCGAGUUGAAUCUGAUUGUAUCUGUACCGUCAAAAAUUUUGUGUUUGACGAUUAGAUGACGCCGGAAGGAGUCAGUAGAACGUGUGCAAAAGUGAAGUAUUAAAAUCCUUAUAAUAGGACAUUAUUUAUGAAAGUAAUAUGAUGUUGAUUCGCGUUACUUCUCUUUGUGUGAAAAACCAUGGGCGCAGAAGAAGCGUUGUAAGAUAGCUGAAGACAUCGUAUGAAGCUGAUCUUGUAACCUUCAGUGUGUCUGCACGAUGUUCGCCCGCCAGACGGAGUUGCGUGAUAGGCACCAAUUGAGGUGAGGUUUGUGAUAAUAGAUGAAUUGGCACGAUGUGGCUAUAAUCAAGGGUGAACAAAUGUUGGCUCAACAGUAAAAUUAAAGUUUAUUUGUCAUGUGCCUCAAUGAAUCGAACGCAAAGACAGGCCCGUGUGUUUAUAAUACUUCGAAAAAUACCCAGGUUUAGGAAUCGAUAAGUUUCUUCAUAUUAUACGGGAAUGAGGUUGCUCGGUAUCCCUUCUACCACCCAUUCCACCCUUCCUGUGUUUUACGUGUCUGGAAUUUCAAGCAAGUUUUGGCAUGCGGUGGGAAGUCAUUAUAUCUUGUGUGUUCUGUGUUGUGUUUUCUUGUAUAUUUAUUUAUGUCUUUCAAUUAAACGUACACCUCCUUUAUGUUUGUCAAAUAUUAUUGUACUUUAUCUGCUAAAGUUUCCUGCAUUAUUUAUGUUACAUUUGUACCCGAAAACUCAUUCAUGUGGGCACAAAAAUUGCUGAUUUAUAUUUAUGUUAUCUAAGUACAUGUAUUGUGUAGAUAUGAACACUGUUGAACGUUAUCUUCUGAAGUAUGUUAUUUAUGUUAAAUUGUUAACCUGAAUAUUGUAACACACAACGCAAUUACUGUAUUAUUUUACGAACUUACGUUUUUUUUUAAUUUCAGCAAUGCCCUAUAUGUUAAAUAUUUGUAUAUUGUCUUUUGUCUUCCAAAGGGCAUUGGGUUUCCUUGAAAAUGAGGUACCACUAGUAUUACAGCUUUACAAAUUGUCUGGCAUCUUUCUGUUUUUCUAUAUCUUAAUACUUUGGGCAUGGAAGGAAGGUGAGUUUUAUAACGCCCCUAAAUAAGUAGAAAAUAAUGCAGAAUUUGGGGAGAAUAUAGUUAAAAUAGAAGGAUAAAUUAAUUGUGAUCUACAAAAUUAUUCAUUUUGGCUUGACUAUUUGAUAGUUUGAAACGGUACGAUGGUGUGAACUUUGGGGUCAUACCCGAGAAAGGUAAAGUUGUAGGAUUAUGUACUUUUGGAAAUUAUGUACAUGAAUAAAUUUUAUACGCCUCUCGUUCGUGGUAUUCUGGGUCACGCCAUGUAGUCACAUGGUGUCUAUCCUGAAGAUGAAAGUGAUACGUUCCACCGAAAAUAUGAUUAUUACCUACGAGACUACUCGCAACUAGAAGACCACAGCCAAAAUUUUCACAGUCGUGAAGACAUUUCAUACAUAGACAUAAUUAUAUAUUUAUUUACGAUUAUUUGUGGACUUGCUAUAUGGACUAAAGUAUUUGAAUGAAAGCAGGGGUCAUAAGUUCUUACUAAUACCUCUUUAAGUUAAGAGCGUCUUCGUUUCGUAUCAUUUGGUAUUUAACAUACUUACAACAGGACAGACCACUAUACUUUUCCGUAUCUUGUUACCUGUGACAAAGAAAGGGACGUGCAGAGGCUUCUGUUUCUCAUUUUGUUUCAUGAUGGAGUUUGGUAAAAAGUGGCCGUGACGUUUCGAGUGUCCAUUUCAGAUAGGGAGCAGUGUUGCUUCAAUUAUAAGUCGAUAGCGGCGCACGCACGGAAUGAAUUCUUUCUUUUUUAUAGUUGGAUUCCUCUCCUGGUCCACACAGCGGUUAAAAAUGGUAACUUCGUGUGCCUUCAUGUUCAAGCACGCCUGAUAACUGGACGAAACACAUUUAGUUAAAUUUAAGGAAGUAUUUUGAUGAUUUUAACUUCAUAAUAAAGACUUCGCUGACCGUGAAACGAAGUAACUGAAAUUGAUUUAUUGGAGUGUAAACAGCGAUUAAUUGACCGUGUGGGAGGCCUUUCCUUGAUAUCAUAAGUCGUUAAGUAACAGUAUUGUUUAAAAUGUGUUUUAUGCGUAUAAUACCUAUUAUGUGGCAACACAGGUAUCACCGGGAGAUUUUUCUUAAGUAGUUAAUUGGCAAUAUUGUUCAAAAUCUGUUUUGUUAAAUAUGUAUGUUGUGUGUCUAAUACUUCGUUGGUGGCAACACCGGUAAGACAAGUGGCCCCACUGGGUAUUUCUAAAUGUCAAUGGAAGGGCCUCUUCUCACAUCGGUGUUGCCAUCUGGUAAAAUAAAUGUCAGAGAAAGGAACGGAAAAAAA